rnacentral:rRNA from 1 species
GACGAACGCUGGCGGCGUGCCUAAUACAUGCAAGUCGAGCGGAUGACGGAGGAGCUUGCUCCUCCUGAUUCAGCGGCGGACGGGUGAGUAACACGUGGGCAACCUGCCCUGUAGAUUGGGAUAACUCCGGGAAACCGGGGCUAAUACCGAAUAAUCCUUCGGACCUCAUGGUCCGAUGUUGAAAGACGGUUUCGGCUGUCACUACAGGAUGGGCCCGCGGCGCAUGAGCUAGUUGGUGAGGUAACGGCUCACCAAGGCCACGAUGCGUAGCCGACCUGAGGUGGUGAUCGGCCACACUGGGACUGAGACACGGCCCAGACUCCUACGGGAGGCAGCAGUAGGGAAUCUUCCACAAUGGACGAAAGUCUGAUGGAGCAACGCCGCGUGAGUGAAGAAGGUUCUCGGAUCGUAAAACUCUGUUGUGAGGGAAGAACAAGUACCGGAGUAACUGCCGGUGCCUUGACGGUACCUCAUUAGAAAGCCACGGCUAACUACGUGCCAGCCGCCGCCGUAA